rnacentral:rRNA from 1 species
CAUNGNGUCUUAACAUGCNAGUCGAACGAUGAACCCGCCUUCGGCGGGGGAUUAGUGGCGAACGGGUGAGUAACACGUGGGCAAUCUGCCCUUCACUCUGGGACAAGCCCUGGAAACGGGGUCUAAUACCGGAUACGACCACUUCGGGCAUCCGAUGGUGGUGGAAAGCUCCGGCGGUGAAGGAUGAGCCCGCGGCCUAUCAGCUUGUUGGUGGGGUGAUGGCCUACCAAGGCGACGACGGGUAGCCGGCCUGAGAGGGCGACCGGCCACACUGGGACUGAGACACGGCCCAGACUCCUACGGGAAGGCAGCAGA